GACGUAGGGCGCGAGCGUUGUCCGGAUUUAUUGGGCGUAAAGAGCUCGUAGGCGCUUGUCGCGUCGAAGUGUGAAAAGUCCGGGGCUCAAUCCGGAUCUGCGGUGGGUACGGGCAGACUAGAGUGAUGUAGGGGAGACUGGAAUUCCUGGUGUAGCGGUGGAAUGCGCAGAUAUCAGGAGGAACACCGAUGGCGAAGGCAGGUCUCUGGGCCACUACUGACGCUGAGAAGCGAAAGCAUGGGGAGCGAACAGG
rnacentral:rRNA from 1 species